UACGUAGGGGGCAAGCGUUAUCCGGAUUUACUGGGUGUAAAGGGUGCGUAGGCGGACGCUUAAGUCAGCGGUAAAAUUGCGGGGCUCAACCUCGUCGAGCCGUUGAAACUGGGUGCCUUGAGUGGGCGAGAAGUACGCGGAAUGCGUGGUGUAGCGGUGAAAUGCAUAGAUAUCACGCAGAACUCCGAUUGCGAAGGCAGCGUACCGGCGCCCAACUGACGCUGAAGCACGAAGGCGUGGGUAUCGAACAGG
rnacentral:rRNA from 1 species